CCUACGGGAGGCAGCAGUGAGGAAUAUUGGUCAAUGGACGAGAGUCUGAACCAGCCAAGUAGCGUGAAGGAUGACUGCCCUAUGGGUUGUAAACUUCUUUUAUAUGGGAAUAAAAUGUUCCACGUGUGGGAUUUUGUAUGUACCAUAUGAAUAAGGAUCGGCUAACUCCGUGCCAGCAGCCGCGGUAAUACGGAGGAUCCGAGCGUUAUCCGGAUUUAUUGGGUUUAAAGGGAGCGUAGGUGGAUUGGUAAGUCAGUUGUGAAAGUUUGCGGCUCAACCGUAAAAUUGCAGUUGAGACUGGCAGUCUUGAGUACAGUAGAGGUGGGCGGAAUUCGUGGUGUAGCGGUGAAAUGCUUAGAUAUCACGAAGAACUCCGAUUGCGAAGGUAGUUCACUGGACUGCAACUGACACUGAGGCUCGAAAGUGUGGGUAUCAAACAGGAUUAGAUACCCGUGUAGUC
rnacentral:rRNA from 1 species